UUGUUGGAGAGUUUGAUCCUGGCUCAGGACGAACGCUGGCGGCGUGCUUAACACAUGCAAGUCGAGCG
rnacentral:rRNA from 1 species